rnacentral:rRNA from 1 species
AGCUUUAUGUGAGAGAUAUAAAGUAAAACCUGCCCACUGAAAAUUUUAAAUGGCCGCAGUACCUUGACUGUGCUAAGGUAGCAUAAUAAAUUGACUUUUAAUUGAGGUCUUGAAUGAAAGGAUUAAUGGAUAAUUUCUGUCUUAUAUUAAAUUACUAAAAGUUACUUAAAAGGUGAAAAUUCCUUUAUUUUAAUAUAAAAGACGAGAAGACCCUAGGAGUUUAUUAUUUUGUUGGGGCGACAUUAUAGCAGGUAUAAACCUAUAUAAUAUUUUGUUAAUAUGAAACGAUGAGUUUUAAUUAUAACUAAACUACCCUAGGGAUAACAGCAUAAUUUAUUAAAAGUUUGUGACCUCGAUGUUGGACUAGGGACACUUAAGAUUAACAAUAUUAAGUGAUAGUUCUGUUCGAACUUUUUACCCU